GCGAAAACUUUACAAUGCGGGAAACCGUGAUAAGGGGACACCGAGUGCCAGCAUUAUAUGCUGGCUGUCCGGGUGUGUAAAAUACACCUGUUAGCAAGGGCCGGGCAAGACCGGUGCCAGCCGCCGCGGUAACACCGGCGGCUCGAGUGGUAACCGUUAUUAUUGGGUCUAAAGGGUCUGUAGCCGGCCGGAUAAGUCCCUUGGGAAAUCUGGCAGCUUAACUGUCAGGCUUUCAGGGGAUACUGUCUGGCUCGAGGCCGGGAGAGGUGAGAGGUACUUCAGGGGUAGGGGUGAAAUCUUGUAAUCCUUGAAGGACCACCAGUGGCGAAGGCGUCUCACCAGAACGGACCUGACGGCAAGGGACGAAAGCUAGGGGCACGAACCGGAUUAGAUACCCGGGUAGUCCUAGCCGUAAACGAUACUCGCUAGGUGUCGGCCACGGUGCGACCGUUGUCGGUGCCGUAGGGAAGCCGUGAAGCGAGCCACCUGGGAAGUACGGCCGCAAGGCUGAAACU
rnacentral:rRNA from 1 species